rnacentral:lncRNA from 1 species
UUUAUUAUUAACUGUAAUCCAAAAUAGCAAGCAUAACUAAAACUAUGUUUAGUAUGCCAACUGCAAGCGUCAGAACUAGUGUCACCCAAUGUUGCUUGAUUGCGUCCCUACUACUAAGAUAGAUGUCAAGCAUGGUGAGCAUUGUAAGAUUGGGAGAGCGAUAAACUGUUUUAAUGCAAAAAAUUUGUACUUGCUGCAUGUUUGGAUCUUAGACAGCUUAUUAUUUCUUUUUUGUUGCUCUUCUACAAAUAUAGCUUUUAAUUGAUACACUGGUUUAUAUGAUCAAAUGUGGACAAUGCCCGAGCGCUUGAAACUGUCAACCAAGUAGAAAGUUUGUUGAGCUUGCAUGAUUCUGAAAAUGUCUUUUGCCAUUAGGUGCCAAGAAAAGCUCAAUAACCUUGAGAGAUGGAAUGAGAUUGAAACUUAGUGUAUGACUACAAGUUUAACUCUAUUACCAUAUCUGGAUUUAAGGAAAUCAAAGUGUGGAUUUGAAUGUCAUUUUAGUUCAAAUGAGGAUGCAAAAGUGGAAGAUCAAGAAAGGAACAAAAAUAGGAAAGCACACAGUUAAAUGAAACAUGUUGUAGUUUACAUAGGAACUUACACCUUUUCACUGGUUUCUCAAAUUCACAAGCUAAAGCUACUUUUGGGGAAUUUGCCUAAUGUUUUGAAGUGCCUGCAUUCUCUUCUUUCAAGAAUGGUUUAUCAGAAUUGCCCAUGUCCAAUCUGCAGAACGCUGCUUAAAAUGAUCCCCAAAAAAAUUGGUUUCUGUAAUAAGUUAUGUGGUGGGACAUUUUAUUUUAUUUUUUAUAUCUUGGCCAAAAUUUUCACCGUUGAAUUUGGAAAUUUUCUUCAAUACUGUUGAAUUUCACAUCGGUUGUGGAAAGGGGUAAUGUGCCCCUUAUAUGGGUCAGGGCCAUAGGUACUCCUCUCCUUUGAGCUAGCUUUUGGGGUGAGUUAAGCCUGACCCAAAUUUAACAUGGUAUCAGAGCUUCCCAAUCCGAUAUUGAGCCUCUCAUAAAUGUGUCACGCACCAACAAAAAUUCUGGGCGUAAGGGGAUGUGUUGAAUCCCACAUCGAUUAUGGAAAGGGGUAAUGAGCCCCUUAUAUGGGCCAUAGGCACUCCUCCCCUUUGAGCUAGUUUUUGGGGGAGUUAAGCCUGGUCCAAAUUUAACAAAUACUUUAAAAAAAUGGUUUCUGUAUUAAGUUCUGUGGUGGGACAUUGCCUAAAUUUUCACUGUUGAAUAUGAGAAAUUUCUUCAAUACUUUUGUUUUUGACCACAAGAUAGUGCAAGAAAUUUCUCCCUAGCAGAUUCCUAUCUUUUGCUGGUGUCAAGAGCAAAAGCUAGACUUAUUGCUAAUCACUUCCUCUUCUUUUGCUCAUUCAUUUACCUUUUUUUUUGGUGCUGGGGUGAGAUGGGAGGGG